rnacentral:ncRNA from 1 species
UCUUAUCCAGAGUGGUGGAGGGACUGGCCCUAUGAAACCCGGCAACCAGUAUAUUAUAUAUACAUGGUGCUAAAUCCUGCAGCGUAUUGCUGAUAGAUGAG